rnacentral:rRNA from 1 species
AGUGGCGGACGGGUGAGUAACGCGUGGGAAUCUACCUAGCGGCGGGGAAUAACAGUUGGAAACGACUGCUAAUACCGCAUACGCCCUUCGGGGGAAAGGCUUCGGCCACCGCUUGAGGAUCCCGCGUCCGAUUAGCUAGUUGGUAGGGUAAUGGCCUACCAAGGCGACGAUCGGUAGCUGGUCUGAGAGGAUGAUCAGCCACACUGGGACUGAGACACGGCCCAGACUCC